CAGCCGCCGCGGUAAUACGGAGGGGGCUAGCGUUGUUCGGAAUUACUGGGCGUAAAGCGCACGUAGGCGGCUUGGUAAGUUAGAGGUGAAAGCCCGGAGCUCAACUCCGGAAUUGCCUUUAAGACUGCCGAGCUAGUAGGUGAGAGAGGUAAGUGGAAUUCCGAGUGUAGAGGUGAAAUUCGUAGAUAUUCGGAAGAACACCAGUGGCGAAGGCGGCUUACUGGCUCAUUCUAGACGCUGAGGUGCGAAAGCGUGGGGAGCAAACAGGAUUAGAUACCCGCGUAGUCCCUGUCUCUUAUAC
rnacentral:rRNA from 1 species